rnacentral:rRNA from 1 species
GGUAAGUCAGUUGUGAAAGUUUGCGGCUCAACCGUAAAAUUGCAGUUGAUACUGUCAGUCUUGAGUACAGUAGAGGUGGGCGGAAUUCGUGGUGUAGCGGUGAAAUGCUUAGAUAUCACGAAGAACUCCGAUUGCGAAGGCAGCUCACUGGACUGCAACUGACACUGAUGCUCGAAAGUGUGGGUAUCAAACAGGAUUAGAUACCCUGGUAGUCCACACAGUAAACGAUGAAUACUCGCUGUUUGCGAUAUACAGUAAGCGGCCAAGCGAAAGCAUUAAGUAUUCCACCUGGGGAGUACGCCGGCAACGGUGAAACUCAAAGGAAUUGACGGGGGCCCGCACAAGCGGAGGAACAUGUGGUUUAAUUCGAUGAUACGCGAGGAACCUUACCCGGGCUUAAAUUGCAGUGGAAUGAUGUGGAAACAUGUCAGUGAGCAAUCACCGCUGUGAAGGUGCUGCAUGGUUGUCGUCAGCUCGUGCCGUGAGGUGUCGGCUUAAGUGCCAUAACGAGCGCAACCCUUAUCUUCAGUUACUAACAGGUCAUGCUGAGGACUCUGGAGAGACUGCCGUCGUAAGAUGUGAGGAAGGUGGGGAUGACGUCAAAUCAGCACGGCCCUUACGUCCGGGGCUACACACGUGUUACAAUGGGGGGUACAGAAGGCAGCUAGCGGGUGACCGUAUGCUAAUCCCAAAAUCCUCUCUCAGUUCGGAUCGAAGUCUGCAACCCGACUUCGUGAAGCUGGAUUCGCUAGUAAUCGCGCAUCAGCCACGGCGCGGUGAAUACGUUCCCGGGCCUUGUACACACCGCCCGUCAAGCCAUGGGAGCCGGGGGUACCUGAAGUACGUAACCGCAAGGAUCGUCCUAGGGUAAAACUGGUGACUGGGGCUAAGUCGUAACAAGGUAACCA